UGGGAGGGUAAUAUUUUAUAAAUCUACUAUAAUAUUGUAAUCCUAUAGUAUUAAGAGUAUAUGAAUAAGAGUAUAAUAAUAGUUAUUAAUUAAUUAUUUAUCGAAAGUGUUGUAACGGUAAUUCUGGAUGGAUAGCUAUACCAUAAGGAUUUCGAUACAGACAACACCCCAAAUAAAUAGGUGAAUCCUGUUUUAAGAUUUAUCACUUAUGUUAAAAACAUACGAAUUCAAUGUUAAAAUAAAAAUAAUAAUAAUUGAUAAAUGUGAACGAUUUAAGAAGCCUUUACACAAUAUUUGAUGUCUAUGUCAACCGACAUUAUAUAAUAAAUGCGUAUUCAAAUUUCGAAAUAACCUAUGUUUGUAAAGUUCAACUUUUUUUAAACAUUUGAAUAUACAUUCAAAUUUAC